rnacentral:rRNA from 1 species
AGUGAACGCUGGCGGUAGGCCUAACACAUGCAAGUCGAACGGCAGCACAGUAAGAGCUUGCUCUUACGGGUGGCGAGUGGCGGACGGGUGAGGAAUACAUCGGAAUCUACUUUUUCGUGGGGGAUAACGUAGGGAAACUUACGCUAAUACCGCAUACGACCUACGGGUGAAAGCAGGGGAUCUUCGGACCUUGCGCGAUUGAAUGAGCCGAUGUCGGAUUAGCUAGUUGGCGGGGUAAAGGCCCACCAAGGCGACGAUCCGUAGCUGGUCUGAGAGGAUGAUCAGCCACACUGGAACUGAGAAACGGUACAGACACCUGCGGGAGGCAGCAGUGGGGAAUAUUAGACAAUGGGCGAAAGCCUGAUCCAGCCAUACCGCGUGGGUGAAGAAGGCCUUCGGGUUGGUAAGCCCUUUUGUUGGGAAAGAAAAGCAGCAGGUUAAUACCCCGCUGUUCUGACGGUACCCAAAGAAUAAGCACCGGCUAACUUCGUG